rnacentral:rRNA from 1 species
AUUGAACGCUGGCGGCAUGCCUUACACAUGCAAGUCGAACGGUAACGGGCCUUCGGGUGCCGACGAGUGGCGAACGGGUGAGUAAUGUAUCGGAACGUACCUUUCAGUGGGGGAUAACGUAGCGAAAGUUACGCUAAUACCGCAUAUUCUGUGCGCAGGAAAGCAGGGGAGUGCAAGAGCUGGCGCUGAUUGAGCGGCCGAUAUCAGAUUAGCUAGUUGGUGGGGUAAAGGCUCACCAAGGCGACGAUCUGUAGCGGGUCUGAGAGGAUGAUCCGCCACACUGGAACUGAGACACGGUCCAGACUCCUACGGGAGGCAGCAGUGGGGAAUUUUGGACAAUGGGGGCAAACCUGAUCCAGCCAUGCCGCGUGAGUGAAGAAGGCCUUCGGGUUGUAAAGCUCUUUCGGCCGGGAAGAAAUCGUAUGGGCUAAUACCCUGUGCGGAUGACGGUACCGGCAUAAGAAGCACCGGCUAACUACGUGCCAGCAGCCGCGGUAAGAC